rnacentral:rRNA from 6 species
CCUGGCGGCCGUAGCGCGGUGGUCCCACCUGACCCCAUGCCGAACUCAGAAGUGAAACGCCGUAGC